CGGGGGGAGCAAGCGUUGUUCGGAUUUACUGGGCGUAAAGGGCGCGUAGGCGGCCACCGCAAGUCGACUGUGAAAUCUCCGGGCUUAACCCGGAAAGGUCAGCCGAUACUGCGGGGCUAGAGUGCAGAAGGGGCAACUGGAAUUCUCGGCGUAGCGGUGAAAUGCGUAGAUAUCGAGAGGAACACCUGCGGCGAAGGCGGGUUGCUGGGCUGACACUGACGCUGAUGCGCGAAAGCUAGGGGAGCGAACGGGAUUAGAUACCCCGGUAGUCCUAGCCUUAAACGAUGAAUGCUUGGUGUCUGGGGUUUUAUAGUCCCCGGGUGCCGUCGCUAACGCUUUAAGCAUUCCGCCUGGGGAGUACGGUCGCAAGACUG
rnacentral:rRNA from 1 species